rnacentral:tRNA from 1 species
UCUUUCGUAGCUUAGUGGUCAGCAUUGGUGUAUCAAGCCAAAGGUCGCGGGUUCGAUUCCCGGCGGGGGUG